AUCCAGCUGACGAGUCCUAAAUAGGACGAUACGCGCGUCCUGGAU
rnacentral:hammerhead_ribozyme from 1 species